UCUCUGGUGGUCCAGUGGCUAAGAAUCUGCAUUCCCAAUGUAAGGGGUCUGGGUUCGAUCCCUGGUCAGAGAA
rnacentral:tRNA from 1 species